rnacentral:rRNA from 1 species
UUCAUGGAGAGUUUGAUCCUGGCUCAGGACGAACGCUGGCGGCGUGCCUAAUACAUGCAAGUCGAGCGGACCGAUGGGAGCUUGCUCCCUUAGGUUAGCGGCGGACGGGUGAGUAACACGUGGGUAACCUG